UACGUAGGGAGCAAGCGUUGUCCGGAAUCAUUGGGCGUAAAGCGCGCGUAGGUGGUCCCGUAAGUCCGCUGUGAAAGUCAAAGGCUCAACCUUUGAAAGCCGGUGGAUACUGUGGGACUAGAGUACGGAAGAGGCGAGUGGAAUUCCUGGUGUAGCGGUGGAAUGCGCAGAUAUCAGGAGGAACACCAAUAGCGAAGGCAGCUCGCUGGGACGUUACUGACACUGAGGCGCGAAAGCGUGGGGGAGCGAACAGG
rnacentral:rRNA from 1 species